rnacentral:rRNA from 1 species
ACACAUGGCAGUCGAGGGGCAGCAUAGAGUAGCAAUACUUUGAUGGCGACCGGCGCACGGGUGAGUAACACGUAUGCAACCUACCUACAUCAGGGGAAUAACCCGGAGAAAUUCGGACUAAUACCGCAUAAUACAGGGAUGCCGCAUGGCAAUAUUUGUUAAAGAUUUAUCGGAUGUAGAUGGGCAUGCGUUCCAUUAGCUGGUUGGUAAGGUAACGGCUUACCAAGGCAACGAUGGAUAGGGGAACUGAGAGGUUUGUCCCCCACACUGGAACUGAGACACGGACCAGACUCCUACGGGAGGCAGCAGUGAGGAAUAUUGGUCAAUGGACGAGAGUCUGAACCAGCCAAAUCGCGUGAAGGAAGACUGCCCUACGGGUUGUAAACUUCUUUUGUACAGGAAUAAAAGACAUUACGUGUAGUGUAUUGCAUGUACUGUACGAAUAAGCAUCGGCUAACUCCGUGCCAGCAGCCGCGGUAAUACGGAGGAUGCGAGCGUUAUCCGGAUUUAUUGGGUUUAAAGGGUGCGCAGGCGGGAUUUUAAGUCAGCGGUGAAAUUUUCAGGCUCAACCUGAACACUGCCGUUGAAACUGGGAUUCUUGAGUAUGGAUGAAGUAGGCGGAAUUCGUUGUGUAGCGGUGACAUGCUUAGAUAUAACGAGGAACUCCGAUUGCGUAGGCAGCUUACUAAGCCAUAACUGACGCUCAAGCACGAAAGCGUGGGGAUCAAACAGGAUUAGAUACCCUGGUAGUCCACGCCGUAAACGAUGAUUACUAGUUGUUUGCGAUAUACCGUAAGUGACUAACCGAAAGCGAUAAGUAAUCCACCUGGGGAGUACGCCGGCAACGGUGAAACUCAAAGG